rnacentral:rRNA from 1 species
GCAUAUCAAUAAGCGGAGGAAAAGAAACCAACUGGGAUUACCUUAGUAACGGCGAGUGAAGCGGUAAAAGCUCAAAUUUGAAAUCUGGUACUUUCAGUGCCCGAGUUGUAAUUUGUAGAAUUUGUCUUUGAUUAGGUCCUUGUCUAUGUUCCUUGGAACAGGACGUCAUAGAGGGUGAGAAUCCCGUUUGGCGAGGAUACCUUUUCUCUGUAAGACUUUUUCGAAGAGUCGAGUUGUUUGGGAAUGCAGCUCAAAGUGGGUGGUAAAUUCCAUCUAAAGCUAAAUAUUGGCGAGAGACCGAUAGCGAACAAGUACAGUGAUGGAAAGAUGAAAAGAACUUUGAAAAGAGAGUGAAAAAGUACGUGAAAUUGUUGAAAGGGAAGGGCAUUUGAUCAGACAUGGUGUUUUUUGCAUGCACUCGCCUCUCGUGGGCUUGGGCCUCUCAAAAAUUUCACUGGGCCAACAUCAAUUCUGGCAGCAGGAUAAAUCAUUAAGAAUGUAGCUACUUCGGUAGUGUUAUAGCUUUUUGGAAUACUGUUAGCCGGGAUUGAGGACUGCGCUUCGGCAAGGAUGUUGGCAUAAUGGUUAAAUGCCGCCCGUCUUGAAACACGG